CCCCUAGAUGUUCUGGGCCGCACGCGCGCUACACUGAACAGUUCAACAAGUCUUAACCUUGGCCGAUAGGUCUGGGUAAUCUUUGAACGCUGUUCGUGAUUGGGAUAGACCUUUGCAAUUAUGGGUCUUCAACGAGGAAUUCCUAGUAAACGCAAGUCAUCAGCUUGCAUUGAUUACGUCCCUGCCCUUUGUACACACCGCCCGUCGCACCUACCGAUUGAAUGGUCCGGUGAAAUCUCGGGACGGCGGCUCGGUCGCUUGCGUCCGACUGCUGAAACUUGAUUAAACCAUAUCAUUUAGAGGAAGGUGAAGUCGCAACA
rnacentral:rRNA from 1 species